rnacentral:rRNA from 1 species
AGCUGUGACGGCGUACCUUUUGUAUAAUGGGUCAGCGAGUUAAUUUUGCGAGCGAGCUUAAGCCGUUAGGUGUAGGCGCAGGGAAACCGAGUGUUAAUAGCGCGAUAUAGUUCGUAGGAUUAGACCCGAAGCCCGGUGAUCUAGCCAUGAGCAGGUUGAAGGUGAGGUAACACUCACUGGAGGACCGAACCCACUUAUGUUGAAAAAUGAGGGGAUGACUUGUGGCUAGGGGUGAAAGGCCAAUCAAACCGGGUAAUAGCUGGUUCUCCGCGAAAUCUAUUUAGGUAGAGCGUUAGAUGAAUACCAUCGGGGGUAGAGCACUGGAUGGGCUAGGGGUUCUCACCGAAUUACCAAACCUAACCAAACUCCGAAUACCGAUGAGUAAUAUCUGGCAGACACACUACGGGUGCUAAGGUCCGUAGUGGAAAGGGAAACAGCCCUGACCGCCAGCUAAGGUCCCUAAGUUAUGGCUAAGUGGGAAAGGAUGUGAGAGUGCAUAGACAACCAGGAUGUUGGCUUAGAAGCAGCCAUCAUUUAAAGAAAGCGUAACAGCUCACUGGUCUAAAUAAGGGUUUCUGCGCCGAAGAUGUAACGGGGCUCAAGCCACGAGCCGAAGCUUAGGGUGUGCGCAAGCACGCGGUAGCGGAGCGUUCU